AGCGAACGCUGGCGGCAGGCCUAACACAUGCAAGUCGAACGAACCUUUCGGGGUUAGUGGCGGACGGGUGAGUAACACGUGGGAACGUGCCUUUAGGUUCGGAAUAACUCAGGGAAACUUGUGCUAAUACCGAAUGUGCCCUUCGGGGGAAAGAUUUAUCGCCUUUAGAGCGGCCCGCGUCUGAUUAGCUAGUUGGUUGAGGUAAUGGCUCACCAAGGCGACGAUCAGUAGCUGGUCUGCGAGGAUGAUCAGCCACAUUGGGACUGAGACACGGCCCAAACUCCUACGGGAGGCAGCAGUGGGGAAUCUUGCGCAAUGGGCGAAAGCCUGACGCAGCCAUGCCGCGUGAAUGAUGAAGGUCUUAGGAUUGUAAAAUUCUUUCACCGGGGACGAUAAUGACGGUACCCGGAGAAGAAGCCCCGGCUAACUUCGUG
rnacentral:rRNA from 1 species